rnacentral:lncRNA from 1 species
CUGCUCAGAGCUGCUCAGAGAAGAAGCUUCUCUCCAUAAUUGAUUUUGGAUUUAUAGUCAAUUAUAGAAUGAUUACAAGAGCCAAUAUGAACUACUAUAACGUUACAUUAAGAAAAUGAGAUACAAACACAGUUAGUUUACACCAGGAUGAAUGUUAGGUUCCUCUUCAUAUUGAGAAAUAAGUCAACAAAAAAAAAACAUUGACUGGUGGUUGGUUGUCACGUUCAGCAUCCCUUGUCCAUGUUUCUUUCUCUAUGUCCAGUCCUCUGCAUUGUAAUAGAUCUCGAAUGUGUCUGAUAGUUAUGUUAGCUGAUACAACCACCAAACCAACAUUAUUUAUAACUUACUCCACCUCCAUUUCAUCGUGAAAGUCAAAUCCUGAGCAUGUUUCCUCAGUAAUCACCUGCACCAUAAGAAAGGGAAGCACUCAACUUGAAUGCUCAAAAUGGCUUUGUUAUCACUGCUUUCUUUUUCAACUUCCUAUCUCAGCACAAGCACCGUUGUUGCGCUCUGCGUGUUGAUAGCAAUUCCGCAAGUGUACGGAUUGAUCGAAGUAAUACAAAAGAUUGUCGAACCACAGGGAUAGUUGUCCAUCAAUUGCUUCUAAGAGUUUUGUGUUCAGAAUGUGAAAAAGAAAGCAAUAUAAGUUUGAGGGUUUGUUGUGUUUAACACACUUGUGAUGAAGAGCAAGAAUUAUAAUUCAGAUAAAAAAGUACCCUGGACACAGCUCCACUUAGUCCAAUUAUGGUUCUCAAAUCAAGUUCUUAUAUGAAGUUUAGAAUCCUUAUCCAUGGUGAUGUAGCCUCUACCUCUACUUGUUAAUUCCUUAAUCAAGUAAAUCAUUCAAUUUCAAUUGCCAAACCUAAUUCCUUAGUGCCUAGUCAAUUCAAUUGAAGAAUGAAGUUUAUAAGUUCAGGCCAACACAAUAAGUUUCUACCCUUAUUCCUAAGUGAUAGCAAACAAAUCAAUCUAAUCCCAAGUCCCUUAAUUCUCACCAACUCCCGUUGUGCAAGAAGAAAGCAAAACACUUGUGUGCACUCAAGAGAAUAUUGAUUCAGAGAAAAGUUACAUGGAAAAGAAACUUUAUUCAUAUAAGAAAAUAAGAAGUUUAAACCAUAAUCAGAACUAAGGUUCACUUCACCCAAAGUACAAAGAGAAACUAGCCAAGCAGGGCUAGGGAAUUCAUAAUGCAAACUAAAGGAAUAAAACCUGAAAGAAGAGGGCCAAGAAGCCUCCCACAAGCUCCAAGAACCUAAACCUCUAAGUUUU